rnacentral:rRNA from 1 species
CCUGGUUGAUCCUGCCGGUAGUCAUACGCUUGUCUCAAAGAUUAAGCCAUGAAUGUGUAAGUAUGAACUAAUUCAGACUGUGAAACUGUGAAUGGCUCAUUAAAUCAAUUAUUAGUUGUUUGAUGGUAUCUUACUUACUCAGAUAAUCGUAGUAAUUCUAGAGCUAAUACGUGCAAACAAAUCUCGACUUCUAGAAGGGAUACAUUUAUUAGAUAAAAUGUCGACGCGGGCUAUGCCGUUGCUUUGAUGAUUCAUGAUAACUCGCUGGAUCGCACGGCCUUUGUGCCGACGAUGCAUCAUUCAAAUUUUUGCCCUAUCAACUUUCGAUGGUAGGAUAGUGGCCUACUAUGGUGGUGACGGGUGACGGAUAAUUAGGGUUUGAUUCCUGAGAGGGAGCCUGAGAAACGGCUACCAUAUCCAGGGAAGGUAGUAGGAGCGCAAAUUAGAGGUAGUGACAAUAAAUAACAAUACCCGGCUCUAUGAGUCUGGUAAUUGGAAUGAGUACAAUCUAAAUCCCUUAACAAAGAUCCAUUGGAGGGCAAGUCUGGUGCCAACAGCCGUGAUAAUUCUAGCUCCAAUAGCAUAUAUUUAAGUUGUUGUAGUUAAAAAGCUCAUAGUUGGAACUAGGGUUGGGUCGUCUGGUCCGCCUUACGGUGAGCACUAGUUUACUCGUCCCUACUGCCGGUGAUGUGCUUCUAGACUUAAUUGCCCGGGUCGUUCCUUCGGCUCUGUUACUUUGAAGAAAUUAGAAUGCUCAAAGCAGGCCUACACUUGUAUACAUUAGCAUGGGAUAACAUCAUAGGAUAUCGGUCCUAUUGUGUUGGCCUUCAAGAUCGGAGUAAUGAUUAACAGGGACAGUCAGGGUCAUUCGUAUUUCAUAGUUAGAGGUGAAAUUCUUGGAUUUAUGAAAGACGAACAACUACGAAAGCAUUUGCCAAGGAUGUUUUCAUUAAUCAAGAAUGAAAGUUAGGGGCUCGAAGAUGAUCAGAUACCAUCCUAGUCUCAACCAUAAAUGAUACCGACCAGGGAUUAGCAGAUGUUACUUCUAGGACUUCAUCAGUACCUUAUGAGAAAUCAAAGUCUUUGGGUUCCAAAGGGAAUAUGGUCGUAAGCCUGAAACUUAAAGGAAUUGACGGAAAGGACCACUAGGAGUGGAGCCUGCGGCUUAAUUUGACUCAGCACAGGGAAACUUACCAGGUCCAGACAUAGUAAGGAUUGACAGACUGAGAGCUCUUUCUUGAUUCUAUAGGUGGUGGUGCAUGGCCGUUCUUAGUUGGUAGAGCGAUUUGUCUGGUGUCAUAACGUCUAGAUCCGGGGAUCUAUCGCCAGACAUUGACUUUAGGGAGUCGCCACCAAUCUUUUUUUAUCCAGGUGUGAUUGGCCACCUAAGGAAUCUGCCCUUUUAGGGAACACCUAAGCUUAAGGACACCUAAGCUUAAGGGUCCCUAAAAGAAUAGGUUCGGGUCUGCUUAACCAGAACAGAGUUCGGGAGUUCGGUUACGUGUGAGGAAGGUUAUAGCACCCUCACAACGCCCAUCAAAAGAUGGUACCAGCUUGAAUUUGUGUUAUCCAAAAGCCUUAAAAUUUUACCAAGUAGUUAGUUGUUGAAAAUUAUUCUCA